AUCUAGCUGACGAGUCCCAAAUAGGACGAAACAUAAGUAAACUGGAU
rnacentral:hammerhead_ribozyme from 1 species